rnacentral:rRNA from 1 species
UACGGAGGGGGCAAGCGUUAUUCGGAAUUAUUGGGCGUAAAGGGCGCGUAGGCGGCUGGAUGUGUCAAAGGUGAAAUCCCUCGGCUCAACUGAGGAACUGCCUUUGAAACUGUCUGGCUUGAGGCCGGGAGAGGGUAGCGGAAUUCCCAGUGUAGCGGUGAAAUGCGUAGAUAUUGGGAGGAACACCAGUGGCGAAGGCGGCUACCUGGACCGGUUCUGACGCUGAGGCGCGAAAGCGUGGGUAGCAAACAGG